AGAGUGAACGCUGGCGGUAGGCCUAACACAUGCAAGUCGAACGGCAGCACGGUAAGAGCUUGCUCUUAUGGGUGGCGAGUGGCGGACGGGUGAGGAAUACAUCGGAAUCUACCUUUUGGUGGGGGAUAACGUAGGGAAACUUACGCUAAUACCGCAUACGCCCUUCGGGGGAAAGCCGGGGACCAGCAAUGGCCUGGUGCUGAUAGAUGAGCCGAUGUCGGAUUAGCUAGGUUGGUGAGGUAAUGGCUCACCAAGGCGACGAUCCGUAGCUGGUCUGAGAGGAUGAUCAGCCACACUGGAACUGAGACACGGUCAGACUCCUACGGGAGCAGCA
rnacentral:rRNA from 1 species